rnacentral:rRNA from 1 species
CCCGCGUAAUUUAGGCAUAUUAGUAAGCGGAGGAAGAACUAACGAGGAUUCCCUUAGUAGCUGCGAGCGAACAGGGAGAAGCCCAGCACUGAAUCCUGAGGGCCUCGCCCUUUGGGAAAUGUAGUGUUUGGGAGGGUUCAGACACCCGAUACCGUCGCACCGCGUCCAAGUCCAUCUUGAAAGAGGCCACGGUCCCGAGAGGGUGCCAGGCCCGUGGUAGGCCGGUGCAGGUGUAGGGCGGACCUCUCCUCAGAGUCAGGUUGCUUGAGAGUGCAGCCCUAAGCGGGUGGUAAACUCCAUCUAAGGCUAAAUACAACCACGAGACCGAUAGCGAACAAGUACCGUGAGGGAAAGUUGAAAAGAACUUUGAAGAGAGAGUUCAAGAGUACGUGAAACCGCUCAGGGGUAAACGGAAAAGACCCGAAAUUUCCGAAGAGGGAGAUUCACGUCUUCUCGCGGCCCCUACUCAGCCGUUCUCUCGACAACACUGCGUGCCACUCGAUUUCGACGUGUGUAUCGUGAGGUUGCAGAGGACGGCGUGUAGGACCGCGGCGGACCGCACUUCUCCCUUAGUAGGACGUCGUGACCCGUUCGGUCAUGGUCAUACGGUUCCAGGGUGGAGCCUGUCCUCGGCAUCUCCGAUGUCUUUGUGCAGACCCCGGGAUCCCGGCCAUGCAUUACCGGUCGGUAUCGAAUGACAGUGUUCGGCCGCUUUACGGCGGGGGUGACCCCGUUUAUAGAGCGCGAGAGCCUUGUUACAAGGUGCCAAGAUGUCAGUCGAAGCGGGCACACGUCCGCCUGGCUGCUCUCGGCCCUGUUGGUUCUGAGGUUUCUCGUUAGGCCGAAAGCACUUGUCUACGGCGAACCAGUUUUGGGCUCUUGUCCGACCCGUCUUGAAACACGGACCAAGGAGUUCAGCGUGUACGCGAGUCAUUGGGUGGUAAAACCUAAAGGCGUAAUGAAAGUGAAGGAAACUUCAAGUUUCUGAGGGAGGAUGAGCCGGUCACCCGCAAGGGGCCGCUCCGCACUCCCGGGGCGUCUCUUCCUCAUCACGAGUGGAGGCGCACCCAGAGCGUACACGCUGAUACCCGAAAGAUGGUGAACUAUGCCUGGCGAGGACGAAGCCAGGGGAAACCCUGGUGGAGGUCCGCAGCGAUUCUGACGUGCAAAUCGAUCGUCGGAGCUGGGUAUAGGGGCGAAAGACCAAUCGAACCAUCUAGUAGCUGGUUCCCUCCGAAGUUUCCCUCAGGAUAGCUUGCGCUUAUGUGAAAGAGUCUCAUCCGGUAGAGCGAAUGAUUAGAGGCCUUGGGGUCGAAACGACCUCAACCUAUUCUCAAACUCCAAAUAGAUGAGAACUCCGGCUUACUUGAAACCUUUCAUGAAGCCGGGGGCUUUGGAUCAGAGUGCCAAGUGGGCCAAUUUUGGUAAGCAGAACUGGCGCUGUGGGAUGAACCAAACGUCGAGUUAAGGCGCCUAAAUCGUCGCUCAUGUGAAACCAUGAAAGGCGUUGGUUGCUUAAGACAGCAGGACGGUGGCCAUGGAAGUCGGAAUCCGCUAAGGAGUGUGUAACAACUCACCUGCCGAAGCAACUAGCCCUGAAAAUGGAUGGCGCUGUAGCGACGAUGCCUAUACUCGACCGUCAACGGCAAAGCUGGCCGAAUGGGUAACUGUUUGGCCGUUAAGCCUUGACGAGUAGGAGGGCCGCGGCGACGUGCGCAGAAGGGUCUGGGCGCGAGCCUGCCUGGAGCCGUCGUCGGUGCAGAUCUUGGUGGUAGUAGCAAAUACUCCAGCGAGGCCCUGGAGGACUGAUGUGGAGAAGGGUUUCUUGUGAACAGCUGUUGCACAAGAGUCAGUCGGUCCUAAGCCCUAGGAGAAAUCCGAAGCGAUGGGUUGCCGUUAACUUUGUGUGAAGGCACCCUUCCGGGCGAAAGGGAAUCCGGUUCCUAUUCCGGAACCUGGCAGUGGAACCGUUCCAAUUCGGGCCCUCUGAGGACUCGUCAGGGCAACCUGAGUAGACCCGGAGACGCCGGCGGGAGGUUGGGGGAGAGUUGUCUCUUCUCUAUAAGCGAUCGAGUUCCCUGGAAACUUCUAGCAAGGAGAUAGGGUUUGGAUCGCGAAGAGCACUGCAGUUACGGCAGUGUCCCAAUCUUCCCCCCGGACCUUGAAAAUCCGGGUGAGGGCCACGAGGAACCCCACGCCAGACCGUACCCAUAUCCGCAGCAGGUCUCCAAGGUGCAAAGCCU